CGCCUUUCAUCGUUCCAUCGCUCCGCGUCAGCGUCACUCUCGACAAACACGAUCGCUGAAACUGAAAUUAAGACACCGAGAGAGACACUGAAUGAAGGUUUCUCUGCGCUGUCAGCCUUCAUCUGCUGCUUCAGCAUCACAUCUGGAGCCGCUCCACACGUCCAGACGCUCCGCGAGCAGCAGAACGAUCAGUUUUGGGUGAACUGUCCCUUUAAAUGUGAGUAUUGUGCUGUUAAACAGAAUUUGAAAUGUGGAAACAUGCUUUCAAUCAGGUCCAGGUGACGUUAUCAUGCUCAGUUACGCACAGAGUAAUUCAUUAGUUCUGCUAAAUAUGACCGAACCAAAGAGGCGAGCCAUCAGAGGACCUGAAGGAGAACAAGCGGUUUUCAAAGGUUCACAUUUAGCUUCUCUGCCGGAUUUGCUUGGAAUUGUAAUUCUCCCUGACGAAGAGCUGAAAACGUUUUGAACUUGGCACUUCUUCACACUUCUUUAGUGGAACGCAAUACUCGAAGCUCGACCCUGAUGAGGAUGAAAAUUAAAGGCGGUUUCCGCAGGAAGGAAAACAGGAUCGCAUCAGAUCAGAGAAACACACCGUACUGCUCACGAGAAACAUCACAACAAACUAAAGACACACUCACAGUCCGACAACAGCUCCAUCUCAUAAAGUCAGAAACGUUUUAUAUAGGUUAUGUGAACGUUAAGGGAACAUUCAAACUUUAUGGGAAUGUUACUUUAGAAUGUUCUCUGAAUGUUCUGAAACAAGUAGAAACAAACAUUAAACAAACGUCCAACUAAAAAGUUCCAGAAAAAAACAUUCCAUGAACGAUGUAUAAA